CCUACGGGUGGCAGCAGUGGGGAAUAUUGCACAAUGGGGGGAACCCUGAUGCAGCGACGCCGCGUGGGUGAGGAAGUACUUCGGUAUGUAAAGCCCUAUCAGCAGGGAAGAAAAUGACGGUACCCGACUAAGAAGCCCCGGCUAACUACGUGCCAGCAGCCGCGGUAAUACGUAGGGGGCCAGCGUUAUCCGGAUUUAUUGGGUGUAAAGGGUGCGUAGGCGGACGCUUAAGUCAGCGGUAAAAUUGCGGGGCUCAACCUCGUCGAACCGUUGAAACUGGGUGCCUGGCGUGGGCGAGAAGUACGCGGAAUGCGUGGUGUAGCGGUGAAAUGCAUAGAUAUCACGCAGAACUCCGAUUGCGAAGGCAGCGUACCGGCGCCCAACUGACGCUGAAGCACGAAGGCGUGGGUAUCGAACAGGAUUAGAUACCCUUGUAGUC
rnacentral:rRNA from 1 species